GAUGAACGCUGGCGGCGUGCCUAAUACAUGCCAGUCGAGCGAACGGACGAGAAGCUUGCUUCUCUGAUGUUAGCGGCGGACGGGUGAGUAACACGUGGAUAACCUACCUAUAAGACUGGGAUAACUUCGGGAAACCGGAGCUAAUACCGGAUAAUAUUUUGAACCGCAUGGUUCAAAAGUAAAAGACGGUCUUGCUGUCACUUAUAGAUGGAUCCGCGCUGCAUUAGCUAGUUGGUAAGGUAACGGCUUACCAAGGCAACGAUGCAUAGCCGACCUGAGAGGGUGAUCGGCCACACUGGAACUGAGACACGGUCCAGACUCCUACGGGAGGCAGCAGUAGGGAAUCUUCCGCAAUGGGCGAAAGCCUGACGGAGCAACGCCGCGUGAGUGAUGAAGGUCUUCGGAUCGUAAAACUCUGUUAUUAGGGAAGAACAUAUGUGUAAGUAACUGUGCACAUCUUGACGGUACCUAAUCAGAAAGCCACGGCUAACUACGUG
rnacentral:rRNA from 1 species